rnacentral:rRNA from 1 species
CGCGUAGGCGGCUGGAUAAGUCAGAUGUGAAAGUCCAUGGCUCAACUGUGGAAGUGCAUUUGAAACUGUCCGGCUUGAGUAUCGGAGGGGAGUGUGGAAUUCCCGGUGUAGAGGUGAAAUUCGUAGAGAUCGGGAGGAACACCGGUGGCGAAGGCGACACUCUGGGCGAAUACUGACGCUGAGGCGCGAAAGCGUGGGGAGCAAACA